UACGUAGGGUGCGAGCGUUAAUCGGAAUUACUGGGCGUAAAGCGUGCGCAGGCGGUUCUUUGUGUCCGAUGUGAAAGCCCCGGGCUUAACCUGGGAAUGGCAUUGGAAACUGGCGGGCUUGAGUGCGGCAGAGGGGGGUGGAAUUCCGCGUGUAGCAGUGAAAUGCGUAGAGAUGCGGAGGAACACCGAUGGCGAAGGCAGCCCCCUGGGUCGACACUGACGCUCAGGCACGAAAGCGUGGGGAGCAAACAGG
rnacentral:rRNA from 1 species